UACAGAGGGGGCAAGCGUUGUUCGGAAUUACUGGGCGUAAAGGGCGCGUAGGUGGCCUUCUAAGUUGAACGUGAAAUCCCUGGGCUCAACCCAGGAACUGCGUCCAAGACUGGGAGGCUUGAAUCCGGGAGAGGGAUGCGGAAUUCCAGGUGUAGCGGUGAAAUGCGUAGAUAUCUGGAGGAACACCGGUGGCGAAGGCGGCAUCCUGGACCGGUAUUGACACUGAGGCGCGAAAGCGUGGGGAGCAAACAGG
rnacentral:rRNA from 1 species